rnacentral:rRNA from 1 species
GACGAACGCUGGCGGCGUGCUUAACACAUGCAAGUCGAACGGAAAGGCCCUGCUUUUGUGGGGUGCUCGAGUGGCGAACGGGUGAGUAACACGUGAGUAACCUGCCCUUGACUUUGGGAUAACUUCAGGAAACUGGGGCUAAUACCGGAUAGGAGCUCCUGCUGCAUGGUGGGGGUUGGAAAGUUUCGGCGGUUGGGGAUGGACUCGCGGCUUAUCAGCUUGUUGGUGGGGUAGUGGCCUACCAAGGCUUUGACGGGUAGCCGGCCUGAGAGGGUGACCGGCCACAUUGGGACUGAGAUACGGCCCAGCCUCCUACGGGAGGCAGCAGUGGGGAAUAUUGCACAAUGGGCGGAAGCCUGAUGCAGCAACGCCGCGUGCGGGAUGACGGCCUUCGGAUUGUAAACCGCUUUCGCCUGUGACGAAGCGUGAGUGACGGUAAUGGGUAAAGAAGCACCGGCUAACUACGUG